GACGAACGUUGGCGGCGUGCCUAAUACAUGCAAGUCAACUGAAAUACCGGUAGCAAUACUGGUAUGGAGGUGGCGCACGGGUGAGUAACACGUAGGUAAUCUGCCUUCAGGUCUGACAUAACCCAUCGGAAGGUGAGCUAAUAUCAGAUGAUGCAGCGGCUUGACAUCAAGACGGUUGUUAAAGCUUCGGCGCCUGAAGAUGAGCCUGCGCUGAUUAGCUAGUUGGCGGGUAACGG
rnacentral:rRNA from 1 species